GACGAACGCUGGCGGCGUGCUUAACACAUGCAAGUCGAACGGAAAGGCCUUUUCGGAGGUACUCGAGUGGCGAACGGGUGCGUAACACGUGGGUGAUCUGCCCUGCACUCUGGGAUAAGCCUGGGAAACUGGGUCUAAUACCGGAUAGGACCGCACUUUAGUGUGUGUGGUGGAAAGUUUUUUCGGUGUAGGAUGAGCCCGCGGCCUAUCAGCUUGUUGGUGGGGUAAUGGCCUACCAAGGCGGCGACGGGUAGCCGGACUGAGAGGUUGGUCGGCCACAUUGGGACUGAGAUACGGCCCAGGCUCCUACGGGAGGCAGCAGUGGGGAAUAUUGCACAAUGGGCGCAAGCCUGAUGCAGCGACGCCGCGUGGGGGAUGACGGCCUUCGGGUUGUAAACUCCUUUCGCCAGGGACGAAGCGUUUUGUGACGGUACCUGGAGAAGAAGCACCGGCUAACUACGUG
rnacentral:rRNA from 1 species